AUGCCUGCUUUGCAGCAUAUAUACUAAAAUUGGGAUGAUACAGAGAAGAUUAGCAUGUCCCCUGCACAGGGAUGACACACAAAUUUGCAAAGCAUUCCAUAUUUAU
rnacentral:snRNA from 1 species